rnacentral:rRNA from 1 species
GAAUGCUGACAUAAGUAACGAUAAAGCGGGUGAAAAGCCCGCUCGCCGGAAGACCAAGGGUUCCUGUCCAACGUUAAUCGGGGCAGGGUGAGUCGACCCCUAAGGCGAGGCCGAAAGGCGUAGUCGAUGGGAAACAGGUUAAUAUUCCUGUACUUGGUGUUACUGCGAAGGGGGGACGGAGAAGGCUAUGUUGGCCGGGCGACGGUUGUCCCGGUUUAAGCGUGUAGGCUGGUUUUCCAGGCAAAUCCGGAAAAUCAAGGCUGAGGCGUGAUGACGAGGCACUACGGUGCUGAAGCGACAAAUGCCCUGCUUCCAGGAAAAGCCUCUAAGCAUCAGGUAACAUCAAAUCGUACCCCAAACCGACACAGGUGGUCAGGUAGAGAAUACCAAGGCGCUUGAGAGAACUCGGGUGAAGGAACUAGGCAAAAUGGUGCCGUAACUUCGGGAGAAGGCACGCUGAUAUGUAGGUGAAGCGACUUGCUCGUGGAGCUGAAAUCAGUCGAAGAUACCAGCUGGCUGCAACUGUUUAUUAAAAACACAGCACUGUGCAAACACGAAAGUGGACGUAUACGGUGUGACGCCUGCCCGGUGCCGGAAGGUUAAUUGAUGGGGUUAGCGGUAACGCGAAGCUCUUGAUCGAAGCCCCGGUAAACGGCGGCCGUAACUAUAACGGUCCUAAGGUAGCGAAAUUCCUUGUCGGGUAAGUUCCGACCUGCACGAAUGGCGUAAUGAUGGCCAGGCUGUCUCCACCCGAGACUCAGUGAAAUUGAACUCGCUGUGAAGAUGCAGUGUACCCGCGGCAAGACGGAAAGACCCCGUGAACCUUUACUAUAGCUUGACACUGAACAUUGAGCCUUGAUGUGUAGGAUAGGUGGGAGGCUUUGAAGUGUGGACGCCAGUCUGCAUGGAGCCGACCUUGAAAUACCACCCUUUAAUGUUUGAUGUUCUAACGUGGGCCCCUUACCGGGGUUGCGGACAGUGUCUGGUGGGUAGUUUGACUGGGGCGGUCUCCUCCUAAAGAGUAACGGAGGAGCACGAAGGUUGGCUAAUCCUGGUCGGACAUCAGGAGGUUAGUGCAAUGGCAUAAGCCAGCUUGACUGCGAGCGUGACGGCGCGAGCAGGUGCGAAAGCAGGUCAUAGUGAUCCGGUGGUUCUGAAUGGAAGGGCCAUCGCUCAACGGAUAAAAGGUACUCCGGGGAUAACAGGCUGAUACCGCCCAAGAGUUCAUAUCGACGGCGGUGUUUGGCACCUCGAUGUCGGCUCAUCACAUCCUGGGGCUGAAGUAGGUCCCAAGGGUAUGGCUGUUCGCCAUUUAAAGUGGUACGCGAGCUGGGUUUAGAACGUCGUGAGACAGUUCGGUCCCUAUCUGCCGUGGGCGCUGGAGAACUGAGGGGGGCUGCUCCUAGUACGAGAGGACCGGAGUGGACGCAUCACUGGUGUUCGGGU